rnacentral:rRNA from 1 species
UACGUAGGGUGCGAGCGUUGUCCGGAAUUAUUGGGCGUAAAGGGCUCGUAGGCGGUCUGUCACGUCGGGAGUGAAAACACGGGGCUUAACCCCGUGCCUGCUUCCGAUACGGGCAGACUAGAGGUAUGCAGAGGAGAACGGAAUUCCUGGUGUAGCGGUGAAAUGCGCAGAUAUCAGGAGGAACACCGGUGGCGAAGGCGGUUCUCUGGGCAUUACCUGACGCUGAGGAGCGAAAGUGUGGGGAGCGAACAGG